UACGAAGGGGGCUAGCGUUGUUCGGAAUUACUGGGCGUAAAGGGCGCGUAGGCGGUGUGUCAAGUCAGGCGUGAAAGCCCCGGGCUCAACCUGGGAACCGCGCUUGAGACUGGCACGCUCGAGUUCGGGAGAGGAUGGUGGAAUUCCCAGUGUAGAGGUGAAAUUCGUAGAUAUUGGGAAGAACACCGAUGGCGAAGGCAGCCCCUGGCUAGCACGUGACGCUCAGCACGAAAGCGUGGGAGCAGAGG
rnacentral:rRNA from 1 species